rnacentral:misc_RNA from 1 species
CAAGCUUCACUUUCCAAGAGCUUAAUUAUUAUUUUUCAACAAUCAGCUUCACAACAAUCAACAUUAAUCAUUAAUUCUUCACUUCAAGAUUCACUUGACUCGCCGAGUGCCAAGUUCUAGUAAUUUCUCCCCUAGUUUAUAUGUAACUUCUUGUACAAUCAACAUAAAGAUGAACUUUUGAAGCAUCUGAAUAUUAGACAACAGACGUGAACUUGAACAAACAAGUUGGACAUGUUAAUUUACUUCACAAAUGAGCAAAAACAAGCAUUUCACUACCCAAAUAAAAAUUCCAUAAUAUAUUGGGGAAGGCCCAAUCACCUAUUGCUUCCUCAGAUCCUCUAGAGGGCGCCUCUUUGGCAACGUUUUCUGGGCCGUCACGUCACCUACUUUCUCCCUCUUGGUGCUUGGUGCAUUCUCUUUCAUAACAUACGAGUCCAGAGCUUUUUGAAGUGUCCCUUGAAUCAAACUGAUUGAGUUAGUCUUCCUUUUCAUCACUGAAUCUCCACCAUACACGUUAAGUUCUUCCUCUUUUCCCGGAUGCGAACUUGUCUUUACAGGUGCUAGCAACUUCUGUUGAACGCUAUGGCCAUCUCCAGCAGUAACGUCUUGACCAACCCCAGAAGUGGUGAAUCCAGGAGAAUGAUCAACUAUUUCUUCAACUAUUUUUGGUAUGUCCUUGGUUGACUCCUUUGCCUCUCCCACAUCUUCAACAAUAAGAUUGCCAAUAUUAUCUUGUUUUAAGUUGCUCGGCUCACACUUCAAUGUUAGCUCCAGUGAAGCAGCAUCUUGAAAAGUGUUUGCCUCAGAAUUUUCCACCAAGAUCUCCUUUUGUGACAAAACGUGAAAAUGCUCAACAUUGACAGAUUCAUUCUCUUUAAACUCGCAAACAAUAGAACCUUGGGCGUCAUCAGUCUUGGUAGGCAUAUUAUCCUGCAUCUUUGACUCUUCAGUACCCUCACUUUUCAUUUCCAAGGCUUCACUUUCAUGAUAAUGAGAAGAACAAACAGCAGAAAUAGUCGAGCAAUCAAUGAGUAGCUCACUUUUGAAUGGAGACAGAGUGUCAAGAUUUUCAAAAUCGUCUUUAUUUUUAGGUUCAACAACAGUGAGUACCUCACCGUCAAGCUUCUGCAAACAAUGUGCUUCCCCAGCCUCUGAGGAAUGUAUCUUACUUUCAUUUUCACAUGAGAGUUUGUUGAGAGUUAGAUAAUCAACAUCAUCCAUUAAAGCUAAUUCAUUCACUGCAUCUUGGUGCACAUUAAUUUGCUCUUCAGCAACCUCCUGGCAGCAACUUGCACCAUUUCCUUGGCUUGAUACAUCUGUCGGGUCACUUAGAUCUCCCCGAGCCUUCUGAGCCUUGCCAUUUUCUCCUAUUAUGAUGUCAUCGUUCUCCUUCACUUGUUCCUCAAACUCUUCAGAAGAUGCUUUUGCAAUUUCAUUCUGCUGUGUGAAAGAACAACCUGAAGCGAUUUCAGGUUUACCAGAAUAUGUAUCAGCAAAUAAUAAAAUUUCUGCAGGUCUGUUAUCUUCACAAUUGCUGCAAUUUGAUACAAUCGUUUGCAGCUUGGUCCUUGCCAUUUCAUGUGAUUCUUCAUCUGAAGAAACUGACAGAGCAGUCUCUCCAUCUGCCACCUCUUUUAGUAUGUCAAUCUUCCCAGUGGUGGGUGCGCAAACUUCUUUAUCUUCAGCACAUGCUCUAUUUUCAAUGAUUCCUUGAAAGCUACAGUAGGAGAUGUUGUUCUCAGGAGCACAUUUUGCAUUGCACUUAAUUAAAUCAUCUUUACCAUCAACGUUAUCUGCUCCUACCCAAACAUCUUCCUGUGAAGAAAAGAAAAAAUUCUCAACCCUUCUAUCCUCAUAAUUCUGGAUGUCAAUAAACUCUUGGUUGAUGGCAGAUACUUCAUAUUGACCAUGAUCAACUGUGGGCUCUUUUGUGACAGAAUCGAGAGCCUCAUUAAACUGCAUUUCAGCAACUUGUCCAAAUUUUUGAAUAUCGGUAACGUCUUUUAUCUGCACGGUAUGGCCAGAAUCCUCACUAACCAAACUGUGUUCCAAAACUUCUUCAAGUUUUUCAACUUUAUCUUCUUCUGCAUGCAUUACAUGCCCUGAAUCCUUGCUCAUCGAAUUGUCCAAGAGAUCCUCAUCAGAUAUUAUUACUUGAUCUUCUUCACCAUUCCCUUGAAUCAAAUUCACCUCCCAGUUGGUGAACAUCGCAGAUUCAACCUGAAUCUUUAAGGAUGCAACCUCAUGGGAUGAAAAAACAAUGUUGUCAGAUUCCUUCUCGGCGUGGUUUUUGAAAUCCUUGCCUUUCAAAUUGCCAUCCACGUUUUCAAAUUUUUCAUUUGCUUCUGCAGCUUUGACAUCCAUACCCAAGGCUAUAAAAUCACUUAUGUCCAACUCCGAUCCAGAUUUCUCUUCGAGAUUGUCAAGCUCAAUUGCCCUCACUGUCGCCCCAUCAGAUGUCUUAUCAAGGCCUCCAAAAUCAGUAGAUGCAACCUCAGGGAAAGCAACUGGACCAGCAUCAUUAACUUUUGAUAACUCAUCUUCACGAUCUAAAAUUGCUUUACCAGGCUCCACUAUGCUAUUUUUCUUUGAAAACCCUCCACUUCGUGCCUCCUUCAUCUCUAUUGUCAUCGUGCAUGUUUUAUUGGCAGUUGCUUCAUCAUUUUCACGGAUUACAUCAUGCACAUCUGCAGCCUCCUCAUCCAUGUGAUAACCAAUAAAUUUCACAAUGCUGUCAACCUUGGCGUCACUCACUUCACAUGUUAUUUCUUUCUCCUCCAUCCCGUUAAUCCUUUUGAUGCUCUUGGGAAACUGGGACAUCGAUUCAACAUUCUUUCCCUCGGAAAAUUCACUUUCUCGACAAGUGCUCUCAGUCAAACUUUCAUCAGAACUGUCAUUCACCUGGGUAGGACCUUCCUCGCUGCCACCAUUGUUAGAAAGCUUAACUACCCAAGCAUCCUCCAGAGUACCCUCCCUUGCAACCUGAUCACGUUGUGCUGCGUUCAGCUGUUCUUCCACGAACUUGCCACUGACCACUUCCUUAACUGCUAUUUGUGAAUCACUAGAUUCUUCACGAAUUGUCCGACUGGAACUUGAGUCAGCACCAGAGUGCACCUUUGCAGCUACCUUUUGGCAACCACCACAAUCACCAAGCUCAACUUCCACACAGUACCCAGAAUCCUUGAACUUCUUGGCAUGCUGUUCACCAUUUGGCUCAGGCGUUCCAUCCUGUUCAGGCUCUCCAUCCAUAUUUUGGCUAUCUUCCAUAUUCAUAACUGCGUUACAAUACUUGGUAAUAGGCACAUCCGUGACAACAUCAACACCGUUGUUGCUUUCUACAACUGUCUCUUCAUAAUGGUGAAGCUUCUUAGAAGGCAGUUCUUGAAUCUCUGAUGCAGAUGGUGCUUCCAAUGAAAAUGAUUUUCCACCAUUACUAUCAAAACUAGCUUCUUCUUUCCCAGCCAUGCAAUCCCCAAAGAUUUGCUCGCUUAAAACCUCAUCACUGGAGUUCUUUGCCAUUGCAAUAUUGCUUAUGUUUCCAUCUUCCAGAUUCGCAAAAUAAAAUUGAGGCAAACCAUCUGGUACCAUUCUGUCCAAAACAUUCUUUCUAUCCUCAAAAUUAGAAUUAGUUGAUACAGUUUUAUUACUUUCCUGGCGCACAUCUUUGGUGCUCUCGGUAACAAUCUCUGUACUGACUUCUGGUAACGAUCUCCCAUUAUCAGGAACCAGAUUGUGCUCGAUUCCAUAUUUUAUAUCAUCCUGCUCAGUCCCUUCUAGACCACAGACUCCAUCCUCCUGAAUAGAUAUCCUAUCAACCUCAACUGAAUUAUCACAGAUACCAUCAUUACCAUAGCAUUCAUCCUUGCCUGUUGACAUUUCUACUCUUAUGAUCACUUUCUCCAAUAUUGAGAUAUUGGAGCUUUCAACUUCAAAAGCAGAUUGAUUUGCAGAUGAGAAGCCAACAGAUGGAGAAGCCACGUCAGAAGCUUUUGCUUGAAAUUUUGCCAACUUAAGUUCAGCUGAAUUAUUAUUGACUAAAUUUGCCCAGAUCCCCGGUGAUUGAUGUGAUUGGUCUUCUACACCUCCCUUGGUAUCUGAGACAAAUUUCCCUAUGUCAUCUACCCGAACAAUGUUGUCAUCAUUAAUAACCUCAGGCUUCCCUACAAUCUUCGAUGCUUCUUCUGUAGCAGCACUGGCCAACAUAAGAGGUGUUGAAGCCAAAUGCUCCUCUAAAUUUGUUGCAAUAUCCAUCUCUUCCCCAGUGUCAG